rnacentral:tRNA from 1 species
GGGUUAAUAGCAUAGAUUUUGAAAAGUGCAUUGGAUUGCAGAUCCAAAGGAGUUUAGAUAUUAACUUAGCUCU